rnacentral:tRNA from 1 species
CAGGUGAUAGUUUAUUUAAAAUUUUAGUUUUGGAUAUUAAAGAAAGUAUAUAAUACUUUUCCUGA